GCUCUUCAUCAGUAGCAUAAGAGACACCCCAACACAAGGCAAGGUUUUAAGUACUAUACUGAAGGAUGGAGCUGUGGUAUUCAACGUUCACGCUGUCUGCAAUAGGAUGGCUAUUGUGGGUUCAAGGAGCUCCCUUAGGAUCUAGAGAUGCACGAACCAAAGAAAGAUGUCAAAGCAACUUCAACUCAGACUGUGAGACUCGAAAGGAGGCAGAAGAAGAUUUCAGGAGGAUUCAUAAGUUAAAAGUGAACAUUGGGUAAAGAGGAGGACAAGAGUUAGGAAAUGCCCUCCAGAGAAGGCAGAAGUUGUGGCCAAAGGAAACAUAAAAACAAGCCAAGUGCAGAGAUCAUUGAUGCUUGCCCGGGUCUACUGAGGAAAGGAAGUAGCAGCAACUGAAUUGAUUGUUUCUUAUCAUCGAGAUUAAUUGGCAGUUUGUGACACAUAUGUGCCAUUAAAGACCUUCUAAUUACCACA